UAGGGAAUCUUCCGCAAUGGGCGAAAGCCUGACGGAGCAACGCCGCGUGAGUGAUGAAGGUCUUCGGAUCGUAAAACUCUGUUAUUAGGGAAGAACAAAUGUGUAAGUAACUAUGCACGUCUUGACGGUACCUAAUCAGAAAGCCACGGCUAACUACGUGCCAGCAGCCGCGGUAAUACGUAGGUGGCAAGCGUUAUCCGGAAUUAUUGGGCGUAAAGCGCGCGUAGGCGGUUUUUUAAGUCUGAUGUGAAAGCCCACGGCUCAACCGUGGAGGGUCAUUGGAAACUGGAAAACUUGAGUGCAGAAGAGGAAAGUGGAAUUCCAUGUGUAGCGGUGAAAUGCGCAGAGAUAUGGAGGAACACCAGUGGCGAAGGCGACUUUCUGGUCUGUAACUGACGCUGAUGUGUGAAAGCGUGGGAAUCAAACAGG
rnacentral:rRNA from 1 species